GAGUUUUGAUCGUGGCUCAGGACGAACGCUGGCGGCGUGCUUAACACAUGCAAGUCGAGCGGAAAGGCCCUUCGGGGUACUCGAGCGGCGAACGGGUGAGUAACACGUGAGUAACCUGCCCUGGACUUUGGGAUAACCCUCGGAAACGGGGGCUAAUACCGGAUAUCUACUUCUGGCCGCAUGGUUGGUUGUGGAAAGUUUUUCGGUCUGGGAUGGGCUCGCGGCCUAUCAGCUUGUUGGUGGGGUGAUGGCCUACCAAGGCGACGACGGGUAGCCGGCCUGAGAGGGCGACCGGCCACACUGGGACUGAGACACGGCCCAGACUCCUACGGGAGGCAGCAGUGGGAAUAUUGCACAAUGGGCGGAAGCCUGAUGCAGCGAACGCCGCGUGAGGGAUGACGGCC
rnacentral:rRNA from 1 species